GAUGAACGCUGGCGGCGUGCCUAAUACAUGCAAGUCGAGCGAACGGACGAGAAGCUUGCUUCUCUGAUGUUAGCGGCGGACGGGUGAGUAACACGUGGAUAACCUACCUAUAAGACUGGGAUAACUUCGGGAAACCGGAGCUAAUACCGGAUGAUAUUUUGAACCGCAUGGUUCAAAAGUGAAAGACGGUCUUGCUGUCACUUAUAGAUGGAUCCGCGCUGCAUUAGCUAGUUGGUAAGGUAACGGCUUACCAAGGCAACGAUGCAUAGCCGACCUGAGAGGGUGAUCGGCCACACUGGAACUGAGACACGGUCCAGACUCCUACGGGAGGCAGCAGUAGGGAAUCUUCCGCAAUGGGCGAAAGCCUGACGGAGCAACGCCGCGUGAGUGAUGAAGGUCUUCGGAUCGUAAAGCUCUGUUAUUAGGGGAGAACAUAUGUGUAAGUAACUGUGCACAUCUUGACGGUACCUAAUCAGAAAGCCACGGCUAACUACGUG
rnacentral:rRNA from 1 species